AGGUGAACCUGCGGAAGGAUCAUUAAUGGAUAUCGGUGGGCAUNGCACUCUCGGGUGCAGCGCCCAUUCGGAUCACAAAAAAGUCGCCUCGUUGUCSCCUWKUAGACAUUCGCUGUCGAACGCGGCCCCUUCACCGGGUGCGAGUCCUCUCGGGGGCUCCUGGCGAGGGUCUGUCCAUACCCCCUGCUUUAUGAAUACCUUUGUAGCUUCCUCGGCGGGCUUGCCCGCCGCUAGGAACCACUCAUAACCUUUUGCAUAAGCAUAUAACCUUCUGAUAACAAAAUCAAUUAUUACAACUUUCAACAAUGGAUCUCUUGGUUCUGGCAUCGAUGAAGAACGCAGCGAAAUGCGAUAAGUAGUGUGAAUUGCAGAAUUCAGUGAAUCAUCGAAUCUUUGAACGCACAUUGCGCCCCUCGGUAUUCCGUGGGGCAUGCCUGUUCGAGCGUCAUUUACACCCUCAAGCUCUGCUUGGUGUUGGGCGUCUGUCCCGCGGCUUCRCGUGGACUCGCCCCAAAGUCAUUGGCAGCGGUCUAGCCAGCUUCUUGCGCAGCACAUUGCGCUCAAWAGGGGGGUUCUGCGGAUCGGCGACCAUCAAGCUAUUUCUAAUGACUUGAACCUCGGAUCAGGUAGGGAUACCCGCUGAACUUAAGCAUAUCAAUUAGCGGAG
rnacentral:rRNA from 1 species